rnacentral:rRNA from 1 species
CACGUAGGGGCCAAGCGUUGUCCGGAUUUAUUGGGCGUAAAGAGCUCGUAGGCGGUUCGGUAAGUCGGGUGUGAAACCUCCAGGCUCAACCUGGAGACGCCAUCCGAUACUGCUGUGGCUUGAGUCUGGUAGGGGAACACGGAAUUCCUGGUGUAGCGGUGAAAUGCGCAGAUAUCAGGAGGAACACCGAUGGCGAAGGCAGUGUUCUGGGCCAGUACUGACGCUGAGGAGCGAAAGCGUGGGGAGCAAACAGG